GUAUAAAGUACCUGGGCGACCGAGCUUUGCUCGGUUAUAACUAUUUAUUGUAAUAUGGUGGUGAUAAUCUUAACUACAUUUUUUACUAAAUUAAACUUGUCUAAAACAAUAAAAAUUAAAAAUUAUAUAUA